GAAGGUAUAACUCAGUGGUAGAGUGUGUGCUUAGCACGCGCGGGGUCCUGGGUUCGAUCCCCAGUACCGGUA
rnacentral:tRNA from 1 species